rnacentral:tRNA from 1 species
GCGGCGGUAAUUCAGUGGUAGAAUGCCUGCUUGCCAAGCAGGAUGCCGCCGGUUCAAAUCCGGUCCGCCGCU